CCUACGGGGGGCAGCAGUGGGGAAUAUUGCGCAAUGGGCGAAAGCCUGACGCAGCGACGCCGCGUGAGGGAUGAAGGUCUUCGGAUCGUAAACCUCUGUCAGCAGGGAAGAACGGUCACUGUGCUAAUCAGCAGUGAAUUGACGGUACCUGCAAAGGAAGCACCGGCUAACUCCGUGCCAGCAGCCGCGGUAAUACGGAGGGUGCGAGCGUUAAUCGGAAUUACUGGGCGUAAAGCGCUCGUAGGCGGUAUGUCAAGUCAAGGGUGAAAGCCCCGCGCUCAACGUGGGAACUGCCUUUGAAACGGGCAAACUGGAGUGUGUGAGAGGAUAGUGGAAUUCCAGGUGUAGGAGUGAAAUCCGUAGAUAUCUGGAGGAACAUCAGUGGCGAAGGCGACUAUCUGGCACAUAACUGACGCUGAGGAGCGAAAGCGUGGGUAGCAAACAGGAUUAGAUACCCGAGUAGUC
rnacentral:rRNA from 1 species